UACGUAGGUGGCGAGCGUUAUCCGGAUUUACUGGGCGUAAAGUGAGCGCAGACGGUUUUUCAAGUCAGAUGUAAAAUCUCUCAGCUUAACUGGGUGGGCGCAUUUGAUACUGUUAAACUAGAGGACAAUAGGGGGAGGUAGAAUUCCCGGUGUAGUGGUGGAAUGCGUAGAUAUCGGGAGGAAUACCAGUGGCGAAGGCGGCCUCCUGGGUUGUUUCUGACGUUCAUGCUCGAAGGUGUGGGGAGCAAACAGG
rnacentral:rRNA from 1 species